rnacentral:lncRNA from 1 species
UGGCCCGGUUAAUUGUCAAUGAGACAGCAAACAAAGAACAUAGACAUUUGGGUGGGUCUCAUUGGGGUCUAAGCGUGACGCGGGAUUGCCGAUUUUUGUAAGCGUGACACGUGAAAGUCAAAUUAUUGUGUCGUGAAAACAGGAAAUGAGGUCUAGUGGGACCCGGGAAAUGACAAAAAAAUGAGAAUUGCUUACGUACAUAGUGUAAGCGGGAUAC